rnacentral:rRNA from 1 species
AUUGAACGCUGGCGGCAGGCCUAACACAUGCAAGUCGAACGAGUGGCGGAAGGGUGAGUAAUGUCUGGGAAACUGCCUGGUGGAGGGGGAUAACUACUGGAAACGGUAGCUACUCCCGCAUACCAUCGGAUGUGCCCAGAUGGGAUUAGCUAGUGGGUGGGGUAACGGCUCACCUAGGCGACGAUCCCUACCUGGUCUGAGAGGAUGACCAGCCACACUGGAACUGGGACCCGGUCCAGACUCCUACGGGAGGCAGCAGUGGGGAAUAUGGCACAAUGGGCGCAAGCCUGAUGCAGCCAUGCGGCGUGUAUGAAGAAGGCCUUCGGGUUGUAAAGUACUUUCAGCGGGGAGGCGUUACCCGCAGAAGAAGCACCGGCUAACUCCGUGCCAGCCGCCGCGGUAAUAC